rnacentral:rRNA from 1 species
AGCGAACGUUUGCGGCGGGCCUAACACAUGCAAGUCGAACGAGAAUCUCUUCGGAGAGGAAAGUGGCGCACGGGUGCGUAACACGUGGAUAACCAACCCCNGCUGUCGGGAUAACGCUGGGAAACCGGCGCUAAUACCGGGUGUGUCCGAGGUGUCAUCAGGCGCUUCGGAGAAAGACACGCAAGGGUCGCCAGGGGACGGGUCCGCGUCCCAUCAGCUAGUUGGUGAGGUAAUGGCUCACCAAGGCAAAGACGGGUAGCUGGUCUGAGAGGAUGAUCAGCCACACUGGAACUGAGACACGGUCCAGACUCCUACGGGAGGCAGCAGUGGGGAAUAUUGCGCAAUGGGCGGAAGCCUGACGCAGCCACGCCGCGUGAGCGAUGAAGGUCUUAGGAUCGUAAAGCUCUGUGGAGGGAGAAGAAGAAAGCCGGUGAAGAGCCGGCCUUGACGGUAUCCCUUUAGCAAGCACCGGCUAACUCCGUGCCAGCAGCUGCGGUAAUACGGAGGGUGCAAAACGUUGCUCGGAAUCAUUGGGCGUAAAGCGCGCGUAGGCGGCGAGGCAAGUUGGAUGUGAAAGCCCUGGGCUCAACCCAGGAAGUGCAUCCAAAAGCUGCCUUGCUUGAAUCUCGGAGGGGUCAGGGAAUUCCCAGGUGUAGAGGUGAAAUUCGUAGAUAUCGGGAGGAACACCAGUGGCGAAACGCGCUGAGG